ACGGAAGGCAGCAGUGGGGAAUAUUGCACAAUGGGGGGAACCCUGAUGCAGCGACGCCGCGUGAGCGAAGAAGUAUUUCGGUAUGUAAAGCUCUAUCAGCAGGGAAGAAACAGGACGGUACCUGCACAAGAAGCCCCGGCUAACUACGUGCCAGCAGCCGCGGUAAUACGUAGGGGGCGAGCGUUAUCCGGAUUUACUGGGUGUAAAGGGAGCGUAGACGGCUGUGCAAGUCUGGAGUGAAACUCCGGGGCUCAACCCUGGAACUGCUCUGGAAACUGCAUGGCUCGAGUACCGGAGGGGUAGGCGGAACUCCUAGUGUAGCGGUGAAAUGCGUAGAUAUUAGGAAGAACACCGGCGGCGAAGGCGGCCUACUGGACGGUAACUGACGUUGAGGCUCGAAAGCGUGGGGAGCAAACAGGAUUAGAUACCCUGGUA
rnacentral:rRNA from 1 species